UACGUAGGGUGCAAGCGUUAAUCGGAAUUACUGGGCGUAAAGCGUGCGCAGGCGGUUUUGUAAGUCUGUUGUGAAAUCCCCGGGCUCAACCUGGGAAUGGCAAUGGAGACUGCAAGGCUAGAGUUUGGCAGAGGGGGGUGGAAUUCCACGUGUAGCAGUGAAAUGCGUAGAGAUGUGGAGGAACACCGAUGGCGAAGGCAGCCCCCUGGGCUGAGAUUGACGCUCAGGCACGAAAGCGUGGGGAGCAAACAGG
rnacentral:rRNA from 1 species